rnacentral:rRNA from 1 species
AAUGAACGCUGGCGGCGCGCCUAAUACAUGCAAGUCGAGCGAGAAGACGUAGCAAUACGUUUGUAAAGCGGCGAACGGGUGAGGAAUACAUGGGUAACCUACCCUAGAGUGGGGAAUAACUAGCCGAAAGGUUAGCUAAUACCGCGUACGCUCCUUGGACUUCGGUUCAGGGAGGAAAGCGAUGCCGAGGGUAUCGCGCUCUUGGAUGGGCUCAUGUUCUAUCAGCUUGUUGGGAGGUAACGGCUCACCAAGGCUUCGACGGGUAGCUGGUCUGAGAGGACGAUCAGCCACACUGGCACUGCGACACGGGCCAGACUCCUACGGGAGGCAGCAGUAAGGAUAUUGCGCAAUGGGCGAAAGCCUGACGCAGCGACGCCGCGUGGGGGAU